CGGGACGUGGCGCAGCUUGGUAGCGCUCCUGUUUUGGGUACAGGAGGUCGGAGGUUCAAAUCCUCCCGUCCCGA
rnacentral:tRNA from 1 species